AUAAGUUAGUCUUAUACUUGGGAGUUAAAAAUUAUUUUUAAGUUUUGUCAAUUUUUUAUUUGGAUAUUCUUGAUACAUUCACCAGUAUUUUUUAUGGGGAGGUGGGCAUAGGAUUUUCAAGUAUCCAAUAAAAAAAAUCUAAUUUAGACUAGACUGUUAGGUGGAGUGACCUAUCAUACUUGAUACAUUCAUAGACUAGGCUUUACUAGCCAAUGUGUAAGACAACUCAACAAUUCCCCCUUUAAACGAAACCAUCGGCACACACUAGUCCGAUCCUCUGGCACACCCGACUUAUUCCAUCAUGACAUUAUAGCUACUGGGAUCUGGCUCUGAUAUCACUUGUUGGGGGCUUGACAUAGGAUUUUUUUGGUAUCCAACUCAAAAAACUAGUUUACACUAGCCUAUUAGGUAAAAUGACCUAUCAUAUUUGUAAAUUUAAGUAACUGCCCUUUACUAUUUAAUGUGAGAUACAACUCAAUAAUUAUGAAUGAUUUUUGUGUUGCGGAAAUUGGUGAUCUAGGCCUGGAGGUUAGUAUUUUUCUUAUUUAUUUAUUAAAUGUUUGAACCCUUUUCUAAUGUUUGCUCAUGUUCUGAGUUGUGUUUCUGUGUUUUCUUUGCUGAUUUGAAUGAUUGUUUUGGUCAACGGGCUUGAAUGCUAAUAUGGUUAGGCUUUUGUCAGUCCUUUUGAGCUGAAAAUGACUUUAUUUUUCAUUUGCUCUCUCAACUCUCUUUUUCCUUUAGGUGGUGUUUGGUUUUAAAAAAGAGAAGGAGAGGAGAGGAGGAAAAAAGAGGGAAAUGGAGAGGUAAUGAGAGGAAAAAAGUGUAAAAAUUAAUUGUUAUUAUUUGGUUUCACAUUAAAUUUUAAAGGAAAAUAAAUUACAUAUUUUUUAUUUGGACAAAUAUACCCACUAUCUCUAAAGUUAAUAAAUAAAUAAAAAAUUAAACUAUGAAUUAAUUUAAUCUAGAAAUUAGCUAGUUAAAUAAUUUUUUUUUAAAUUACAACAUCAGGUCAUGGAUAGCCGCCACGUUGACCGCAAUUUACCGUUGUUGGCAGCCAUUGACCACCGUUGACCGGUGUUGUUGACCGAUAUUGACCGCCAUUUUUCAUCGCGUUAAAUGCAUAAUAAUGAUCUGAAAUGGACGAUUUACUCAUUAUAAAUGUUAAUUUUGCAAAAAAUACUCUAUAUAGUCGGAAAUAUGAGAGUUAAAAUUUUCUCAAGCAUUUAAACAAGACUUGAGGUAAAUAACAACGUUUAUUAGCAUUUCUAAUCCCAUAGAGUUGUAGAUCAGCUCAUGAGGAUUCCAUUGGUACCAGUUUUGAUGGUAAAGCGCGUCUCCAACGAAACUCCAACGAGUCACUUUACUGCUUUUUCUUUUUUCAAAUAAGUUUAUUGUGGACUAAAAUGGUGAAUCCAAAACUUGAGCAUGUUAAACGGCAGCAUUUUUGUUUGUGUUUAAUGAGCUCAUGUAUCACGAGUUUGGCAUGUGGAUUACUUAAGUCUGAAACGGCAGGGGCUUGUGACAUUUUGAGCAAAGACUUAAGUGGAACAUGUGGAAUGCACGUGAAGAGGGGAAUCAAGUUAGUUGCGAAGCUGUUAGUACAUGUGGCAAGAAUCUGUGCAUUCUGGAAUUGAUAUCAGCUGUUAUAUAACCUGGUUAACAGAGCAGCUUCAAGAAUCAUCUGAGAGCGUGAUAGAGAGAGUUAAGAUACAAAGAAAGCUUAGUCUUGAUCCUUAUAGUUAGCUCUUGUAUUACGGUGUAAAGAUUGCUUGAAUCAUCAAUAAAGCUUGUUCUGUUGGCUUCUCCCGUGGAUGUAGAUUGUGCUCUUCUGCACAUUUGAACCACGUAAAACACUUUCUUGUUCUGGGUUUGAUUAGCUUCUAAUUCUGGUUCUUGAUACUUUCUGAUUAUAACCAUUUACGUUAAAGGUUCUGUUAACUCUUAAAGUGAGAUUGAUUAGUUUCUUAGCAUCUUGAUUGGUCUGGUUUGUGAUCUUGGGCAAUGUGUUGGGUUGCUCAACAUUUUCUAAAGCACCCAAUUCACUAUACUUGGUAUCAGAGCAAGGUUAACAAAUCAAAGAUCCCUGUAUGGCUAACCCAAAGAUUAACCUUGAGAAGUUUAACGGAAAAAAUGACUUCAACAUGUGGAAAGUAAAAAUGGAGGCUUUGCUGGUUACUCAAGGGCUUGGUGAUGCAAUCCAACCAGUGACCAAGAAGGAGGGUAAAGAGUUCUCUACAUCCAAGACUCCUGAGCAGGUUACUGAGAUUGAUAGGAAGGCUAGAGGGACGAUAAUCUUGAGCCUUGCAGAUUCUGUAAUAAGGGAGGUGGCAAAAGAACCUACUGUGGUUGAUUUAUGGGCUAAACUAGAGAGUAUCUACAUGAAGAAAUCCCUGGCAAAUAGGCUAUACAUAAAGAAGAGAAUGUUCACAUUAAAGAUGAUGGAGGGCACACCAUUAGAUGACCACCUUGAUGAGUUUAACAAAGUGUGUGACACUUUGGAAACUAUUGAUGUAGCCCUUGAUGAUGAAGAUAAAGCUCUUCUGUUGAUAAGCUCUCUGCCAAAGUCAUAUGGAAAUUUUGUUGAUGCCUUGAUGUAUGGUAGGCAGACACUAUCUCUGGAUGAAGUAAAGUCAGCACUCAACACAAAGGAACUACAAGGCAAACAAGAUCAUCUGGGAGUUGAAUCAGGUCAAGGCUUAACAGCAAAAGCCAAAUCAGAUGGCAAGAAAAAGAAGCAGGGCAAGUACAAAGAAAAGCCAAAAGAUCUGAAGUGUUUCUUGUGUCACAAAGAGGGACACUUCAAGAAAGAUUGUCUAGAGAAGAAGUUUAAAAAGAAAGGGCAGAAUAGUGGUGCAGCAGUAGCUGAAAAAGAAGGCUAUUAAUAUGCUGGAGUGUACAUUGCCACAGACAGCAAAGAUAGAGGUAAAUGGGUUCUUGACUCAGGGUGCACUUUUCAUAUGAGCCCAUAUAAGAGUUACUUUACAGAUUAUUAUGAGUAUAAUGGUGGUAGAGUAAUGAUGGGAAAUAAUGCUGUGUGUAAAAUCAUAGGAAUUGGCAAUGUCAAUCUUAAGCUACAUGAUGGAACCAUCAGAGAGUUAAAACAAGUCAGGUAUGUGCCUGAGCUGAAAAGAAAUCUGAUUUCCUUGGGAAUGCUUGAUCAGAUUGGGUGUCGUGUUAGGAUUGAAUCGGGAGAGCUGAUGAUUGUCAAGGAUUCACAGGUUAUUAUGAAAGGUAGCAGGAAGAAUGGGGUAUUCAUCUUAGAUGGGGAUGUGGUUAGUGGUGAAGUUAGAAUGUCAGUAGCUGAUACCACUGAUAAAAUCAAAAUAUGGCAUCUAAGGUUAGGGCACAUAGGAGAGAGGGGCCUUAAAGAACUUGAGAAACAAGGUGUUUUUGGAGAUGAUAAGCUUGGAAACUUAGACUUCUGUGAAGAUUGUGUACUAGGCAAAGCAACAAGAUCUAGCUUCAAAAGAUUAGUACAUAAGUCCAAGGACAAGCUGAAGUAUGUUCAUUCAGAUUUGUGGGGGCUUGCUCAGCAGAUAUCUCUAGGUGGAAAUAGCUAUUUCUUGUCAUUCAUUGAUAAUUUUUCCAGAAAGGUAUGGGUUUAUACUUUGAAGAAUAAAGAUCAAGUGUUUGAUAAGUUCAAAGAGUGGAAAAUUUUAGUUGAAAAUCAGACUGGAAAGAAGCUGAAGAAGCUUAGAACAGACAAUGGCUUAGAGUUUUGCAAUCAGAGGUUUGAUAAAUAUUGUGCAAAUGAGGGAGUUAUGAGACACAGAACUGUUAGGUUAACACCUCAACAGAAUGGCUUGGCAGAAAUGAUGAAUAGGACACUCAUGGAGAAAGUGAGGUGCAUGCUUGUUCAAACAAAGCUUCCCAAGUCACUAUGGGCAGAAAUACUCUUAACAGCUUGCUAUCUGGUCAACCUCAGUCCAUCUUCAGUCAUAGAAUUCAAAACACCUUAUGAAAGAUGGACUGGACAACAAGCAAACUAUGAAGAUCUGAAAGUGUUUGGCUGUACAGCCUAUGCACAUGUAAACCAGGGAAAGCUAGCUCCCAGGGCUCUAAGGGGUAUCUUCAUAGGUUAUCCAGAAGGGGUUAAGGGAUACAAAAUCUCGUGCACAGAUAUAAACCCUCCUAAAUGCAUAAUUAGCAGGGAUGUGAUAUCCAAUGAAGAAGAACUCAUAAGCAAGAAACCUGUUAAAAGAAAGUCUGAGGAAGAAGAAAAAGUUUUUGAUAUACAUCAGAUUGAGGUGGAGCUACCUAAUCAUCAUGAAACACAUGAAGCUGCAGAUUCAAGUGAUAUAAAUGAUGAGUCAGAAGCUCAGGAUGCAACUCAACUAGAAUCGGAAAUACAAGGUUACCAGCUAGCUAGAGACAGAGCAAAAACGCCAAUAAGGCCACCCAGAAGAUAUGGAUAUGCUGAUCUCAUCACAUAUGCCUUGGAAGCUGCACAUGAAAUUGAUGAUGAGGAACCAAAGACCUUUAAUGAGGCAAUCUAGAGCAAAUUCAGAACAGAAUGGAAAGAGGCCAUGGAUGAUGAAAUCUUGUCCCUACACAACAAUGAAACUUGGGAACUGGUAGAAAGACCAGAAAAAAGGAGAAUAGUGGGCUGCAAGUGGAUUUUCAAAAUCAAAGAAGGACUGACCAGCUCAGAACCAAAGAGGUUUAAAGCAAGACUUGUGGCAAAGGGCUAUACACAGAAAGAAGGGGUUGAUUUUAAAGAAGUUUUUUCACCUGUUGUUAGGCAUGCUUCUAUAAGAGUAAUCUUAUCACUCAUAGCAGUUCAAGACAUGGAGCUUGAUCAACUUGAUGUCAAGACUGCUUUUUUGCAUGGGAGACUCCAAGAAGAAAUAUUCAUGACUCAACCUGAAGGGUAUGAAGACCCCAAGAAGCCCAGACAUGUUUGCUUGCUUAAGAAAUCCCUUUAUAGCUUAAAACAGUCUCCUAGACAAUGGUAUCUCAGGUUUGAUGAAUUUAUGGUAACAUAUGGAUUCAUGAGAUGCAGUUAUGACUGUUGUGUGUACUACAAACUGUUGAAGGAUGACCUCUACAUAUAUCUCCUCCUAUACGUAGAUGACAUGCUGAUAGCUUGCAAAAUAAGGGAAGAAAUAGAAGAUUUGAAGAAGAUCCUAAGCUUUGAGUUUGAUAUGAAGAAUUUAGGGAUUGCAAAGAAAAUAUUGGGGGUAGAAAUUGAGAGGAAUAGAGCUGCUGGUCUUAUGUUCUUAUCACAGAGGAAAUAUCUUACCAGGGUACUGCACUAUUUUCAAAUGCUGAAUUCUAAACUAGUGGUGACUCCCUUAGCAGCUCAUUUCAGGCUUAGUAACUUGCAAAGUCCUAAAACAAAUGAAGAGAAGUUGGAAAUGGAAGAUGUACCUUAUGCUAAUGCAGUGGGAUGCCUUAUGUAUGCCAUGGUCUUAACAAAACUAGACAUAUCACAGGCUGUGAGUGUUGUGAGCAGAUACCUGGCAGCACCUGGAAAGCAGUUAAAUGGAUAAUGAAGUAUCUAUCUGGUACUUUGAGCUAUGGGCUAGUAUAUGGCAAAAAUAAGGGAAGUUGUGAAGGUCUGUUGGGGUUUGUGGAUUCAGACUAUGCAGGGGACUUGGACAGCAGGAGAUCUUUAACUUGUUACAUGUUCUUGUUUAAUGGUUGUCUUGUGAAUUGGAAAGCAACUAUGCAACAUGUGGUAGCCUUGUCAACCAUUGAAGCAGAAUACACAGUUGCCACUGAAGCUGUGAAAGAGGCAUUAUGGCUACAAGGAUUAAUGAGAGAACUGGGGGUAAAACAGAAGACUGUAACAGUGUAUUGUGACAGCUCAAGUGCACUUCAUCUGUGUAGGAACCCUGCACAUCAUGAGAGAACAAAGCACAUAGAUAUUAAACUCUAUUUCAUUCGAAAUGAAGUAGCCAAAGGAGCUGUGAAAAUGUCCAAGGUUCAUACAGAUGAGAACCCUACUGAUAUGCUUACUAAGGUAGUAACAACAGCUAAAUUCAAAGUAUGUUUGAGUUUAGUCAGCUUGGGUGACUGCUGAUUGCCUGAGGUCUUGGAGAAAGAAGCAGAUUGAGGAGUUUUGGUUCAAGGUGGAGAAAUGUGGACUAAAAUGGUGAAUCCAAAACUUGAGCAUGUGAAACGACAGUGUUUUUGUUUGUGUUUAAUGAGCUCAGGUAUCACGAGUUUGGCAUGUGGAUUACUUAAGUCUGAAACGGCAGGGGCUUGUGAUGUUUUGAGCAAAGACUUAAGUGGAAUAUGUGGAAUGCACGUGAAGAGGGGAAUCAAGUUAGUUGCAAAGCUGUUAGUACAGGUGGCAAGAAUCUGUGCAUUCUGGAAUUGAUAUCAGCUGUUAUAUAACCUGGUUAACAGAGCAGCUUCAAGAAUCAUCUGAGAACGUGAUAGAGAGAGUUAAGAUACAAAGAAAGCUUAGUCUUGAUCCUUGUAGUUAGCUCUUGUAUUACGGUGUAAAGAUUGCUUGAAUCAUCAAUAAAGCUUGUUAUGUUGGCUUCUCCCGUGGAUGUAGAUUGUGCUCUUCUGCACAUUCGAACCACGUAAAACACUUUCUUGUUCUGGGUUUGAUUAGCUUCUAAUUCUGGUUCUUGAUACUUUCUGAUUAUAACCAUUUACGUUAAAGGUUCUGUUAACUCUUAAAGUGAGAUUGAUUAGUUUCUUAGCAUCUUGAUUGGUCUGGUUUGUGAUCUUGGGCAGUGUGUUGGGUUGUUCAACAUUUUCUAAAGCACCCAAUUCACUACAUUUAUCCUAUUAAUUUAAGAAAAUAAAUAUAAAUUAUUUGUACUUUAAUUUAUUUAAAAUUUAUUUUGUUUGGAGGAUAAUAUUGGAAUUUUUGUGUUUCAAUAGAUAAGGGAUUUGAAAUCCUUAGUCAUUGAAUUUCAAUUGCAGUAAACUUGGUCCAACCAAACAGUGAAAAGUAGAAAAGAAAUUAAAUUCUUUUCCUCUCCCCACUUCUCUACCCCCAAGCAAACAUGGCCUUAGUUCCUUAAAUUUCACGAUCUGUGUAUUUUUCAUGAUAGAACGUUAUAAGUCAAUAGAUUUGUUGUUUAAUAAAUUUUCCUGAUGGACUAGGUGGUGACAAAAAUAAUUAUAUGGAGCUGAUUCCUGAAAAGAGAGAGUACAUGUGAGAGAGGGAAGAAAAUAGUUAAAAAAUGAAUGCUAAUUUUUAAUUUUUUGUGAGGAUAAUUUAAAAAUAAAUAAGGUUAAUUUGAAAUUGGGAAUGUCGAACAAAAUUUGAGGUAGUCAAUGUCACUACUCUAUUAACUUUCUCCAACUCAAGUAAGGUGGACAUUGGGUUAACCUAAUAGUAAACUAGAGUCCUCAACGUAUUUAGGGCGCCACCUCGCGCCCAUAGGAAACUCUGUGUCCUUUUUCUACAAAAUGUGAAACAAGGGUUUAUUUCUCUUUAUUUUAGUUGAACAAGACAUUUCUGACAAUAUAUUUUCGUUGUGUUUAUUUGUUGGAGUAGGAGUGGGAGUAUGGAUUCCUCACACUCCAACAUUUACUUAUUUAAGAAGGGGAGUAGGUGUCCCACUCCAUAGGUCUCACUUAUUUUUAGAAUGAAAAGUGGGAUUCUCACUCUGUCGGAAUCUACUUCCAUCUCUUUCUUUUUUUACUUUUUCCUUAUUAAAUAUAGUAUAGUUAAAUUUAUUAAAAUAAAAUAAUAUUAAAUUUAUUUGAACAUAAUAUAUCAUAUUUAUUUAAAUAAUAUUAUACUAUUUUUAAUAAUAUUACAUUUAUUAAAAAUAAGGAUAUCAAACUUAUUUAGAUAUAAUAUUAUCAUAUUUUUUUAUUUUACUCUUAUUAUAUUUAAUAAUAUUAAUAAUUAAUAAUAAUAAAUAAUUUGUUCCAAGAAAAUAUUAAUUAGAUACUAUAUUAUUAAUAAUAUUGUUUCAUUUUUGUUGAUCUUAUCAACAAUUUUUAAUUUACAUAAUUUAAAAUUAAUAAAAACUUGGGAUUUACAUAAUUAAGAAUAUUUAUAUUUAUGAUUAAUUUAUAUAAUAAAAAUUAAUAAUAAAAUAAAUAGUUUAUUUUACAAAUUUUUUAUUCACUUUGUAAUUAAAAACUAAAAUUCUUUAAAUAAGAGUAAAAUUAUAAUUUGAAACAAUUCACUCCAAGUUAAAGACAAAAUAAACACAUAAAUAAGAUUCUAAUUCCUAUUCCACACUUUCAUUCCAAUAUAAAUAAACAACAAACUUUUACUCUCACUAUACAUUCCUAAUUUCAGGAUUCCUAUUCCAAUCCGAGAAGUAAUCAUUUUUGGUUUCCGUAGUUUUUCAAUAGCAAGCUCUUUUAUGUUUUGUAAAUAGUGCUUACUUUUGAAUGUGAGUACCGUUGAACAUAUCAUGUUGAUAAUACAGCUUCUUUUAUAUGUAAUGAGGUUUACCGGUUACAUAACCAGCAUCCAAAAAAUGAUGCCAGCUUAAUAUAGUUAAUUAUAAUUUAUAAAUUUUCUUUUAUUAAUACUUAUAAAAAAAUAAAAAUAAAUUUAAUAGCCCACCCAAAAAAUGAUGACAGCUUCGCCACUGCCUCCAAGAAAAUCUUCGCCACUGCCUCAACUUGGGGAUAGAAUUCACCUAAUAUGUGGUUAUGGCCAAUUGAUAGUGACAUCAUUUUUGUCAUUUUUGUUGAAGCCCAAUAUGCCUGAUUUUUGCACCUUCCAAGUACAUUUAGGACUACAUCUCUGGCGAUCCUUGGAAUAUUUGAAGGCAUCAAACCUUGUAGAUUUGUCUUGCGUAGUCACGUGACAAAAGUACAGUGUAGUUCCUCCGAAAUUUCCAUGGAAGUUCCAAUGGAAAUUUUCCCAUGUCUUUAAAACAUGAGGCCCUAAAUCAUCAUCUCCGGAUUUACAAUGAACUGUAAUAUCUUCUCCAGAUAUAUCGUUUUCAACAGCAACUGAAAAAUCAUCUGAAGGUAGAAGAUAUGCCCACGGUGUGCCAACCAAAGCACCCAACACUACAAACAACAACAAAACGUUGUUAAACUGACUCAUUCUCAAUUUCAGUUUUUCUUGAUGAAUUAAAGGAUUGAACACGAACAUCUUAUUCUCAAGAGUUUGAUUUUUAUACAUAUAUUUCCUUGACAAAUAUAGAAUUUUAUUGCUCAAAUUAAGGCCAAGCCUGAAAGUAUAUUUUCUCGACAAACGAUGCAUGACCACUAAUUUAUUUAUAUGCAUAUAUAUAUAUUUUUAACUCCGUUCCCAUAUUCGNNNNNNNNNNNNNNNNNNNNNNNNNNNNNNNNNNNNNNNNNNNNNNNNNNNNNNNNNNNNNNNNNNNNNNNNNNNNNNNNNNNNNNNNNNNNNNNNNNNNGAGAAUUCCAUUGCGAACAUAGGAAUCUUUUAAGUAUUUUUAAUUAUACUAGGAGAAUGAUGCGCCAAAUUGCAAUACUAAUAAUUAUGAUUUUUUUCUUCAAUAUUUCUGUUUAUGUUUUUUACAUGCUUGUUGAACUUCUACCGAUGAAGGAAAAACUCAUUUGAUCGAUCCCAGCACACGUGCACACACAUAUACGAAAUUAGGUGUUAAUUAUUUAACUAUAAGAUAUUUUUUAGGGUAAUAUACGCUUUCAUUAAUAAGCACCUAUUACAAAAGCGAAAAAAAGCUAUCGGAAAUUAAAAAUUGAAGCUAAGGCUAGACAACCCAAGAGGAGGGAUGAAUUAGGUUGAAAACAUAUAGAACACAAAAAUUAAAGAUUAAUGUAAAUUUAUAAAUUAAAUAAUGACAGUAAUUAAAAUGUAAAGAGAGAAGGGAAAAGUAUCGAACACAAUAUUUUUACGUGGUUUGGAAAAACUUAUCUACGUCCACGCCUCGAAACUCAUCACGCUUGAGGAUUCCCAUGAACAAACCUUAAAAUCUUAAGGCUUCAACAAGAUUACACUUCACUUCGAAGGUGUCAAUGGACCUUUACAACUUGAGGUAAUCACAACCCUUUUAUCUUAAGUGUUUCCCACACUCUCAGCUACUCAAUUUUGAUAUUGAGAUGAAAGUUACAUAGAUUUCUUGCUCACAUAAUCUAUGUGUUUACAAAUGAAAGCUCAAAGUGUGAUUUGAUAAAAGAGUAAACAAAAUUUAUCUCAGACUAGAUUAAAUUAAGCAAUGAUAAGUUUGAUGAUAAUUGUUGAACACUUCUUGUAAAUUGUAUUUGAUGGAGCCUUUUAUAGUUGGAGAAGAAAAACUAGUCAUCAUUGACUUUCUAGGCAUAAUCAGAUCGCCAUUAAUAGAAGUAGGAUUGCCGUUUUCACUUUGUGCGAGUUAUAGUUAUAUAGAAUUUUGAUUUGCCGGAUCAUCGUUAGAAGAUGUCAGUUAACUGUUUAAUUCAAAAGAGUUCACUGAUUGAAGUCCGUUUGCCGCUUGCUCAUAAAGGUUUACCGUUUGAUUCUAUAAGCUCACCUGUUCGAAGCUGACUUGCCGUUUGUGGAUAGUAGUUUGCUGCUUCAAGAUAUAUUCCUUUCUAGAAUAUAUCGAUUAGCCGUUUUUAGUAAACGAUCUACAGUUAUCUUUCAGAAUCAAACAACCUGAUAACUUUCUAUAAACGGUUUGCCGUUUCAAUGGUAGCAGUUAUUGUUUAUUUUCAAAAGCUUAAAUUUGUUCAAAAAUAAUGCAUGGCCUAAGAAACUUCUCCUAUUUUAAAGACUCUAACAUUCUUAACCUAUGACACAUAUAAUUUAACAUCGAUUUGAUACAAAAUGAAAUUCUUAUGACAUGCCAAUUCUAACAACAUCCUAAUGGAUUCUAAUCUGACUAUAGGAGCAAAUGUUUCAUCAAAAUCAAUUUCUUCUUCCUGAUUGUAUCCUUGAGCAACUAUCUACCUUUAUUCCUUACAACCACAUCAGAUUCAUCCACUUUAUUUCUAUAUACCUAUUUAGUGCCUUUUAUAGAUUGAUGUUAUGUGUUUAGGAACAAGUAUCCAUACAUUAUUUCUCUCAAAUUGAUUUAACUCUUCUUCCAUAGCCAUAAUCCAUAAUUCAUCAUUUUCAACAUUUGAAAAUGAUUUUGAUUCAAUUUAAGAUAUGAAUGCAGUAUGCUUACAAGCAUUUCUAAGUGAUAAUCUAGUAGUUACACCUCGUAAAGGAUCAUCUAAGAUUAACUCUUUCCCUCUAAUCCUUAAGGAUGUUAGCUUAAAGGGCUAUACAUAAUGUAAUUUUGAUGAUAACAAACAUAUAUCUUAAAUGAUUUGAAAAAUAUUGUACUUCACAUUUCACUAGUUCUUGAAGGAUAAUAUUUAUGAUGAAGUGAAUCAUGUGAAAUCAAGUUUAAAACUCUCAACGGACAACGGCGCGAUCAAGAAUAAAGUUUAGAGCUCAAUCGACUCAUUAUUACAACAAUUCUUGUAAAAUCGGUAAGAUUUAAUAUAUGUGUGGUUUAACAUUUCAGAAGAUCAAGAUUUUAUUUAAUAAAUCAUCAUUUUUCAUAAACCAAAGGUUUUAACAAUUAUAAGCAAAGUAUUUUAAGUAAUUAAUUGUUUUUCAAGAUGUGGACUAAUAUGAAAAAGUUUUGCAAUCUUUGAUUUUAAUAAGUCUUGUUUUAAGUUCUAGAUUUGGACUUAUUUGCAAAUAUUUCAAACGUUUUGGGCCAUACUAUAAUUUCUAAACAUUUGGGGUUAAAGUAUAAAUAUUAAAAAUAAACGUAGAGUUAGCGGCUAACCGCCUAAAGAAAAUUUCAUAUUUUCAAAUUUUGGACUAAAUUGAAAAGAUUUUAAGAACAUUAAAAUUUAUAAGUAUUUUGUUAAAGUUUGAAAAGGACUUCUUUGAAAAAUAUUAUUAUGUUUUGGGUCGUAUGAUAAUUUCAAAAAUUUUUGGGAAUGAUAAGCAUUAUCUAGAAAUUCUAAAAUUGGAUCUGUUUGCAAAGUUCUAUGACGUUUUGGGCUAUAUAUAGUAUAAUUACAGAAAGUUUUGGGCAAAAUUACAAUUUUUUAAACAGUAUUACUGUAUCAAAAUUCAAAUUUAAUGAUAACUUUACUGUUCUGAAGCGGGGAGCCGACUAAAUUAAGCGGCUAGCUGCUUGCUUACUAGAAUUUUACUAUAACGGCUAGUUUUUGGGCUUUAGCUAUAAAAACGCAACUCCAACUUCAAUUUAAAGACUUUUGGCAAGCAUAAACAAGUGCAUAUAACAUAUAUUGAGCUUUAAUUUCUCUAAUCAUCAUAUAUUGAAUCAUCAUUGUGCUAUAAUUUGUAUAUCCACUCUUAAAGAGAGUUUCUUUGUUGUAAUCUUUAUUUUCUCAUCAAAUUUGUGAGUGUAUAAGUGUGAGAAACACUUGAGUGAAGAGAUUGAGAGAUAAUCUAUUGGUUGUAAAGGUUUAUUGACACCUUGGAAGUCAAUUGUAAAGAACUUGAAACCUUGGAAGGUUUGGAUAGUGAAAUCCUCGAGCUUGGUUGGCUUGGAGGCGUGGACGUAGGCGGGGAUUGCCGAACCACGUAAAAAUUACAGUGUUUGCUUUCUCUUCCUUUACUCUUUUAUUAUUGUGUUUUUUUGCUCUCUCUUCCCUUACUCUUUUAUUAUUGUGUUUUAUUGAAUUUAUUAUUUUUGAUUUGAUUAAGGCAAUAGAUUAAAUUGUUGUGUGGAUUGUUUUGCAUAAGUUUUAAAAUCCCAAUUCACCCCCCCUCUUGGUUGCAUAACUUGCAUUUCAAAGGAGUGUUUAAGAAUUUCCUUCAUUUUGAUUCUGCUUAGCUUGUUCUUUUUGUUGCUCUUUUGAUUUUUGCCUAAUAGAUCAUCUUGCUCGUCUUUUAAAGACUUAUUUUUAUAACUCCUUAUUUGCAUCAUCAUCAACAACAACUUCCUCUGUAGAGGAAGGAUUAGAUUCACCAAAUGUAACAUGCAUAUAUUCUUUAACAACCAAGGUCCUUUUAUUAUAUGUUCUAUAAGCACUGCUUGUAAUUAAAUACCCAAGAAAGAUACUAACGUCAGAUUUUGGAUUAAAUUUACUAAGAUUAUCUUUUGCAUUUAAUAUAAAAUAUUUGCAUCUAAAAACUUUGAAAUUGUCAACACACAAUUUAAGACAUAACAAAUAGUGUUGAUGGCUUUCUCCCAAAAGUAUUUUGGUAAAGUAUUUUCAUUCAACAUGGUCCUAGCCAUUUUUUGAAUUGUUAUAUUCUUUCUCUCAACAAACCCAUUUCCCUGUGGAGUUCUAGGUGAUGGAUAAUGAUGUUCAAUACCAAAGUCAUUGCAAAAACUUUUAAAUGUAUGAUUUUCAAAUUCUCUAUCAUGAUAACUUCUAAUGCAAGAAAUAUCACACCCUUGUUCAUUUUGGACCACUUAAUGAUCUAAAUUGAUAAGUCAUACAUUCACACAUGCAUUUACUAUAGAACCUUCAGCUUUAGUCCAUGAAAACAUGCAAUUGAAUAUUAAAAGAGUUUUACUUUAUGAAAUUCAAACUAAGGACCGUGACUCGCUAUCAUUCACUUGAUGUCUAACAUAUGAUUACACAGUACUCCUUUUCCAAGCUCUUGAAUCUUGUUUUGGAUGCCCAAUAUACCAUUUUAAUAUGUAUUUGCUGAAAAUUAUUGUUGUUUAAUUUAAAUCUAGAUCUUUUAGAAAUUCUAAUUGGAAAAUUAGUCACGUCGGAUACUUGAAAUUUCUUAUUUGAAGUUCAUAUGUUUUCAAGAUCAGAUAAAAGAAGCUAGCACUGUGUCAAGUUCUCCUUCAUUGGUCUUGGGUGAAGUAUCUGUUAUAAGCGAAUCUUUCCUUCCUUGGUGGAUGGUGGCAUACUCCCUUUGGGCCUAUCCAAGUGCAACUUCUCAUUCUAAAAAAAGAACGUUCAAUAAUUUCUAUAUGCCUAUUAUAGAUCUGCACCCCCUGCGAUCGAUAAACCUUUUUCUUUUGGAUCUUAUUAACCAAAGAGAUACGACUUUGCACUAUAGUUAUCUCAGCACCAACGCAUUUUCUUUUGAUUAGAGUAGGGGUCGCGAGAGAGUAGAGCGUACUGCCCUGCCAUAGUCGUGAGUUUGUUUAUAGUCUUGACUAUUGUGAUAGUCAACAAGGUGGAAACUUCCAGGAAAAAACUUCAAAUUUAGAGGGCAAUCCUCCCAGUGAACUGACAAUUGACAUUAUCAAUAUCUCCAUGUACUGAUUUAGAGCUAUUUGCCAAACUUGCUCUAUUCUGACUAUCUUCUUUAAGGUGUCUUGAUCGUCUACACACCUCCAGGUGUUUCCACCAGUGGGAACAUGGUUUACAUCACCCUUACUUUCUUUGUGUUGCCCAGAUUGAAUCAAUACAUCCUUGACUUGAAAUUACCACAAGCCAAAAUUGAUUCUCCCAUCAAACUUUUCAAACUCAAUCCUCACAGGAUUUGAAAAUUUGUUCAUAUAUAUAAUUGCUUUGCAGAACAACCUUUAACUCUGAUACCAUUUGUUAGGGAAUUGAAUCCCACCAAGAUCUUGCAAGCAAAAAUAUAUCAAACAAAUAAUAAAUUGAAAAAUAGAUGAAGAAUAAAACCAAUCACACAACACAAGAAUUUACAUGGAAAUCUCUUAUAAAGGAGCAAAACCACGGUCACCAAAGACAACAAGAGAAACAAAUCACUAUGUGAAAAAUUAUUACAAUCACUCUGCUAUUUUUCUUACACCCAAAACCCCAAUAAGACCUAAUCUCUUAAUAGACAUACUAUGUCUUCCACACAAGAAAUUGUCUACUUGCAGAGAUUAUUGUGUUAUAUACUACAAAUAAGUGAACCCUAGCUCCCUAUAUAUAGUGAUUAUUUCUUGUAAGAAAAGUAAUCCUUUUCUUAUACUAGCAAUAUUUCUCCUUGGAUAAGUCAAGUUCCAAAAGGAAAACGACUUAUUCCUUAAAUAGGAAUCAUACAAAAAAGGAAAAUAUCAUAGGAAAUCCUUAUUCUUUAAAUAGGAAUUCUACAAAAAGGAAAAUAUCUUAAAAACUUCUUAUUGAAAAAUAAGACAAUUUCCUAACAGUACAUUCAUAUGUCGAAGAUAAAGAGAAUUCUACGCCCAAGAAAAUUCCCCUGGAAAAUGUAUGUUUACUCCACUGUAUGAAUGGAUUUGGAUAAUAUAAUGACUUCAUAUAGCCUUUAAUAUUAUUAUUAUGAACAAUAAGGUUCAUGUGUUGAUGAUAAAAUUCUCCUAGUAUGUGUUUAUUACCAAUUUAUAGUGACAUCAUUCCUAUCAUUUUUGUUGAAGCCCAACAAGCCUGAUUUUUGCACCUUCCAAGUAUAUUAAGGACUACAUCUCUGGCGAUCGUUGGACCAUUUGAAAGCAUCAAAUUGUUUGAAUUUCUCUUUCGUGGUCACAUGACAAAAGUAUAAUGUAGUUCCUCCGGAAUUUGCGUGGAAGUUCCAUUGAAAAUCUUGCCCUGUCUUUAAAACAUGAGAUCCUAAAUCAUCAUCUUUUGAUUUACAAUGAACUGUAACAUCUUCUUCAGAUUUAUCGUUUUGGACAGCAAUUGAAAAAUCAUCUGAUGGUGGUGUCUCCAGCAAAACACCCAACAUAACAGACAACAAUAAAACUUUGUUAAACAGACUCAUUUCCAAUUUUCGUUCCAUGAAUUAAGGGAUUGAACUUGCACAUCUUAUUCUCAAAGAAUUCGAUUUUUACCUAUAUAUUUUCCUGACAAAUACAGAAUUUUAUUACUAAAAUUAAGGUGAAGCUUGAAAAUAUAUUUUCUCGACAAAUGAUGCCCGACCAUUAAACAUCCCUCCCGUUCUCAUUUUCGGUGACUUCUCAUUUUUUCGCAUGUAAAUAGUCCUAAAUGUUCUUUGAAGGUGCAAAAAAUCAGGUUUGUUCGGCUUCAACUAAAAUGACAACAACGAUGUCACUUUAAAUUGGUGUUAACCUCAUAACCAAAUCAAAGAUUUUAAAAUAAUACUAGGAGAAUUCAAUAAUCAAUUGGGAAUCUUAAAGUAUUCAAAUUAUUCUAGCCCAAUUUACAAUUAAGGAUAACUCUUUUCUCUAAUUUGUCUGUUCUUGUUUUUCACAUACUUGUCAAACUCUUACCAAUGAAGAAAAUGUGCAUUGAUGCACGCACACACGCAUAUAUAUGGAAGUGGAUGUCAGUUAUGUUAACUGGUAAAAUUUCAUUUCUUGAAAAAGUUUUAUUACCGAUCAGAUUUUUUUAACGGUAGAAUAACUUUUCAUUAACAUUUAUUAAGGUGUAAAUGAGUUAUCGGAAAUUUAGAGAAAAAUUGAGAGGUUCUUUUUAAAGGUAAUUUGCCUUAGGAUGAUAAUAAAUAUAUUCUAGGACAUGUUGCAUCUAUAACAUGAUCAAUUAAUUAUUUCUCUCUCAUCUUUCAAACACCACGUGAAAACAAACUUCCCAUUGAAAAUAACAAUUUGCUAUCAACUAGAGACGUCCAAGGGGCCAGGCCGGCAAAGGAAGGGCCAUGUGGAUUUAUGCUCGUACCAUGUCAUAUCCACCAUAUGAUUCGUACUGUGCUCUUUUUAUUUUAUUAUUAUUAUUUUUUUGCUUAAGCAUGGCCCGACACAUGCCCCAUACCCUAGGGGUGUUCAGAAUCCAAUCCGAUCCUCUCAAUCUGUCUGAUUCGCAAAAAUCCGAUUCGUAAAAAUCCGAUCUGUGGAUUGGUGGAUUGGAUUGGAUUGGAUUGAAAAUUUAAAAAUCCGCAGUCCGUGGAUUGGAUAUGGAUUUACUUAUGUAAAUCCGUAAAAAUCCGUGAAUCCAUAAAAAAUAAAAAAUAUAUAUUUAUUUAAUUAAAAAAUAAAACUUAUAAAUAUGAUGUUACUACUUACUAAUAAAUUAAUAAGUUAAAAUGUAGCUAUAUUAACACUAUACAUAUCUUAUCUGAUAAUAAUAUAUAAUAAACAUGAUUAAAUAAUUGAAUAACUAAAUAAAGAAAUAUAGCUUUCUAAACAGUUAAUUUUCAUGUAUUGAUUUAAACAAAUGAGAUUUUUUCUUUUCACUAUAUUAUAUUUUGAGACUUUGAAUGUAUUAUUCUAUUUUUAUUUAAAAUUUUAAUUUAUUUAAAUCUUAUUAAAUUUUGAAUUUGAUCGGUAAUAAAAUUACUUUUAUAUAAGAUUUUUUUAUUUAAUAAGUUCGUACAAUGAAUAGAAUUAAAAAAUUUUAAUCCGCAAAUCGAUUCACAAAAUAAUGGAUUGGAUAUGAAUUGUGUCAAAUCCACAUCUGAUCUGCAAACAUAUGGAUUGAAUUUGGAUUGAAUUUGCCAAUCCGUGGAUUGGAUUGGAUUGAAAAUUUACAAUCCGUAAAAUCAUGGAUCGGAUAUGGAUUGAUAUCCAAUCCGUAAAAUUCGAACCACGAACACCCCUACCAUACCCACAUGUGCCGUGCUGGACUAUGCAACAAGCCAUGCCUAAAAAAAGAAAGUAUGAAAAGUUGUUUUUAAAAAUCAUUAAGUGGUCCAAAAUAUUUUUAAGACGACAUGCCAAGUUAUUGGCAUGCUUUUUUCAAAAUCAUGCACUUUUUUUUAAGUCCGUGUGCUUUUAGUCACAUAGAAUCAAAGUUUAAAACUCAAGUUCAUAUUUAAUAAUAAUAAGGGAAUACGAUACUAACUGUUAAGUUAGACCUACGAUACUAGAAUUCGUUUUUAAUACUUAAUAACAACAAUAGCAACAACAACAAUAAUAAUUUUUUUCUUAAGGAUUAACUUAAUUGUUAACUUGGGCUUACAUAGAGUCAUAAAUUGUAAUCCAUAAUGACAUUAAUAUAUACAUUUAUAAAAUUAUGAUAUUUAUAAUUUUAUUUGUUAAAAUCAUGAUAUCAUCUAUUCAUUUAAUAAAUUAUAAACAUAAAACAACUAAAGUAUUUUUCUUUAAACUAAGAAUUAAAUGAAUUUAAAAAACUUAUGCUAAUAAAAUACAUUAGAAGAUUCAAUUUCAAGUUAUUUGUAAAAUCAUAAAAUUUUAAGUUUGGUUUCUUUGAAAAGUUUUACUUGGCUCUCAUGAUAUUGAAGACCUAUCGGCUACGUGCUAAUUUGCCAGUGAAACGUGCUUAUUAUGGGCUUUUCAUGAGUUGUACUUUAACCUAUCUCUAAUUAUGCCGUGCUUUUAAGGUCCAUGUCUCAAAAAUUCUCAGUCCAGCCAGCUCGCGUGCCCAUCGUACUAUGCUGUAUGCCCUGCCAAAACAUUCUUGUGCCAUGCCGUGCUGUACGGACAUUUGCCGUUCCGUGCCACAUGCCAUGCCGUGUUCGCCAUCUCUAUUUGAGAGCACUAGCUUGACUUCUCAUGGGAAGCUCUAUUUACCCUUUGUACAAAACAUAUAAUAAGAAUACAUUUAUGGCCACAUCAAUUGAAUAAUACAUUUUUGACAACAUUUAUAUUAUUAUUUUGUUCCUUGCUUUUUUUAUAGUUCUUUUAUAACUUUGUAAAAAGUGCUUAUUACCAAAAGUGUACACUACCCAUGACAAUAUCUUCUCAAUAUGUGAUACCGCAAGUCAUAUACAUAUAUAGACAAUACUCGUUUAAUUAUUGUGUUUUGGGCUUAAAAAAGUUAAAAACUCCAAACUUUUAAUUAUAAAAGCCAGUCCCGUUACUCAUUUUACAUAUUUAAAAAAAAAAAAGAGAUCUGCUAACUCUAUGAAAUGAGAGUUAUCAUAGUAUUUCCAUACUUAAACUAAUAUUACUUAGAGAGUAAAUGAUAUGUUUUUAUUACAUUUUGAGUUAUGUUUUGUAUGGGCAUCUAUUUAAGUUUAAGUUAAUAAAUUGAUUGUGUUUUAGAUCACUUUGUGCUCUGAUUAUGUGCAUGAUUGUAGGUGACAAAAAAGCUCAAACUUUAUAAAUAGAAUGCUGCAGCAACAGACUUGUAGAAAUUACAAAGAACUGGUUUGCAAAUGAACUAAAACAUGUCUAAAUUAGAGAAAAUGUUGAAGCAACUGCUGCAGAAAUCCAGAAGCAAAUACAGACAAGACUACUCGCAUGGUAACUGACAAAGCAGUGACAGGUGGCACAAAAAGAUAUGCAAUUCGGGGUUUCCCAAAAAAAGACAUGUUGGCACAUGCUUUUGUUUGCCCUAAUUCCAAUAUAUAAAAAAAGCACAUGUGAAUGAAAAAAGGAGGAGGUGCCGUCACACAAAAACAACAGAGAUAAAAAGAAAAAGAAGAGAACCAGAGAGAGUUAAGGGCUAAUGAAGGGAUUUCUGAGAAAAAGAAGAAGAAAUCAUAAAACCAGAAAGAGGGACAUCUUGAAUUUAGUGGAUCUCAAUUUCUACUCUUUAUUUACUUGCUUUUACAUUUCUAUGGGAAUGUAUUUGAUGGAAAAAGCGUGUAUUGUUACUGUUUUAUCGCUUAUCAUGAACUAAACUUUGAUGUAAUUGGGUGUUAAACAAGCUUAAUGGUUAUUUGACUUAUAUAUCGGCGUUGCUUAGAAUCUGCUGUAGCAUUUUGUCUUGAUUUUACUUAUUGCAAAUCUCUAUUUUGUUAAUAUAAAUAUUUCUUUAUUAUUGAUUUUGAUGAUAACAAACUUGAUUAAGAUUGAUUAAUCUUUUAAAAGCUCAAAAUAGUUAAGAUUGAUUAAUCGUUAUUCUCACUUUAUAAAGGCUUUAUAUUCUAUGAAAAUGUUUUUAUAAAAUUGGUUAUUCUCAUGUUAAUAGUUUCAAUUGAAAAAGCUUUGAGAAUUUUGAUAAAUAACAAGUAUUGCUUAAAAUCCUGAAAAUGGACUUAUUUGACAAGUUUUAUAAAGUUAAAGGUCUUCCAAAAAUCGGUUUUCAAAAAGAUAAAAUUUGUGAAGCAUGCCAAUUUGGUAAACAAAUCAAAACCUCUUUUAAAAGCAAAAAUCAUAUUUCUACUUCAAAACCGCUUCAAUUACUUUAUAUAGAUUUAUUUGGACCUUCAAGGUAUGCUAGCUUGAGUGGAAAAUAUUACGCUUUUGUAAUUGUUGAUGAUUUUUCAAGAUACACAUGGGUAUUAUUCUUAGCUAAUAAGGAUGAUGCUCUUGAUGCUUUUAAAGUGUUUUGUAAGAAAAUUCAAAAUGAAAAAGGGUACGGUAUUGCAUGCAUUAAAAGUGAUCAUGGAGGAGAGUUUGUAAACUAUGCAUUUGAAACCUUUUGCAAUAAUCUAGGCAUUGUGCAUCAAUUUUCAUCACCUAGAACUCCACAAAAAAAUGGAGUUGUUGAGAGAAAGAAUAGGUCAAUUCAAGAAAUGGCUAAGACUAUGUUGAAUGACAAUUUCUUGCCUAAGUAUUUUUAGGUCGAGGCUGUCAACACCGCUUGUUAUGUUUUAAAUCGUGUGUUGAUUAGACCUAAUCUUAAUAAAACUCUAUAUGAGCUUUGGAAAGACAGAAAACCCAACAUUGGUUAUUUUAAAGUUUUUGGAUGCAAAUGUUUUAUUUUGAACACAAAAGAUAAUCUUGGCAAAUUUGAUCCAAAAUCCGAUGUUGGUAUUUUUCUUGGAUAUUCAAACUCAAGCAAAGCUUAUAGAGUUUAUAACAAAAGAACUCUAGUUGUGGAAGAAUCUAUGCAUGUUACAUUUGAUGAAUCUAACCCCUCCUCUACGGAGAAAGUUGUUGUUGAUAAUGAUGCAGAUGAAGAAUUACAAAAAGAGUCAUCAAAGGAUAACCAAAAGGAUGCAUCUCAUGGGAAUCAAGAUGAGCAACUUGAAGAAAUGAAUGUAGAGCAAAAUGAAGGUACUUCUCAAUCACUCCCCAACGGGUGGAAUUAUGUUUCUUCUCAUCCUAAGGACUUGAUUUAAAGAGAUACCUCAAGUAGCAUAACAACUAGAUCAUCAUUUAGAAAUACUUGUGAGCAUGCUGCAUUCAUAUCUCAAAUUGAACCAAAAUCCUUUGCGGAUGCGGAAAAUGAUGAAUCUUGGAUUAUGGCAAUGCAAGAGGAGUUAAAUCAAUUUGAGAGAAACAAUGUGUGGGAAUUAGUUCUUAAACCGGAACAUCAAUCCAUUAUAGGCACUAAAUGGGUAUUUAGAAAAAAAUGGAUGAAUCUGGUAUGGUUGUAAGGAAUAAAGUUGGACUAGUGGCUCAAGGUUACAACCAAGAAGAGGGAAUUGAUUUUGAUGAAACAUUUGCACCUGUAGCUAGAUUAGAAUCCAUUAGGAUGUUGUUAGCAUUUGCAUAUCAUAAAGAUUUCAUUUUAUUUCAAAUGGAUGUCAAGAGUGCUUUCUUAAAUGGUUAUAUUAUGGAGGAAGUUUAUGUGAAACAACCCCUUGAUUUUGAAAAUGAAAAAUUUCCAAAUCAUGUUUAUAAGUUGUCAAAAGCAUUGUAUGGAUAAAUCAAGCAUCUAGAGCAUAGUAUGAUAGGCUUAAGAAUUUCUUAUUGGAUAACAGUUUUUCGAUGGGUAAAACGGAUACUACUCUCUUUGUUAAGCAUAAAAACCGAGAUAUUCUUGUUGUUCAAAUUUAUGUUGAUGAUAUUAUUUUUGGUUCUACUAAUGAAUUGUUGUGUAAAGAGUUUUCAUCUUGUAUGAGUAAAGAAUUUGAAAUGAGUAUGAUGGGAGAGUUGAAGUACUUUCUUGGGCUGCAAAUAAAACAAAAUGAGGAAGGAAUAUUCAUAAAUCAAGCCAAGUAUGUGAAAGACCUACUCAAGCGAUUUGGCAUUGAUGAUUCAAAGACCAAAAGCACUCCAAUGGGCACAACAACUAAGCUUGAAAAAGAUUAAAAAGACAAAAAAGUGGAUAUCAAAACGUAUCGAGGUUGGUUGCUAAAUUGGAGUUUAUAUGGGAGUGUUUUAACCACUUUGUUUUUGAGGAUAUGUUCAUUUUUAAGGGGAGAUUCUGUCAAAUUUUUUUCGACAUGGGUAAUCUCUGAACUUCUCUUUUUAAUCUUUUCACGCUCAUUUCUUUUUUAUGAUGAAGGGGGAGAUAAUUUAUAUAUAAUCUGUUGAAAAAUUUUCUUUCUACUUUUGUGGUUAAAAAUUGAUGGACACAUAUUUAUGGGGAGCUAAAUUCUACAAAUAUUUUACUUAGGGGGAGCACAUAUUUAGGGGGAGCAAAAUUGCACAAGUAUUUUCUUGAAAAGUUUGUCAUCAUAAAAAAUGGGGAGAUUGUUAACAUAAAUAUUUCUUUAUUAUUGAUUUUGAUGAUAACAAAAUUGAUUAAUCUUUUAAAAACUCAAAAUAGUUUUCAUAUACUUUUAAAUCAUCAUUCUCACUUUAUAAAGGCUUUAUAUUCUAUGAAAAUGUUUUUAUAAAAUUGGUUAUUCUCAUGUUAAUGGUUUCAAUUGAAAAAGUUUUGAGAAUUUUGAUAAAUAACAAGUAUUGCUUAAAAUCCUGAAAAUGGACUUAUUUGACAAGUUUUAUAACGUUUUGGGCCAUAGUAUAUUUUUAUAAAGUUUUGGGGCUAAUCUGUAAUUUUAUAAAAUAGUUCACUAUGGCAGUCAUUGUAGAAAACGAUGAUCCGACAUAUCAAUAAUGGCAAUCGGACAUCAAACAGAAUUGAAGAGUUUCCUUUGGACACUAACGGCGAUUCGACAUCUUAAAAACGGCGAUCUGACAAUUUGAAAAUUCAGUCCAAUGGUCAUAUUGACUAGAUAAACGACGAUCCGACAUCUGGUUAACGGCAAUCCGAUAGUGAGCAGAAAGUCAAUAACGACUAGUUUCCAGCUCCAACUAUAAAUAAGCUCAAUCAAAUUUCAAACAACAACGAUUCCAACAAUUGUCAUUGAGUAAAUUAUUGAGCAUACAACUUUCUUUGAGCUUUAAAUUCUUGUAUUCAUCUCACUUACUCACACUUUAGAUCUUUAUUUGUAAUCAAACACAUUGUGUGAGAGAGAUUUAUUUUGUAAUAUUUUUUACAAACGAAUUGAGAGGUUGUAAGUGUUGGGAUACACUUGGGACAAGAGAUUGGGGAUAAUCUCUUUGUGUAAAGGUUUAUUGACACCUUGGAAGUCAAUUGUAAGAGCGGUUUAAGCCUUGGAGGCUUGCUUAGUGGAAUCCUCAAGCCCGGUGAGCUUGGAGGCGUGGACGUAGACACGGUUAGCCGAACCACGUAAAAAUCACGUGUUUGAUUUCUCUUCCUUUACUCUUUUAUUAUCUUGUUGGAUUAAAUUUAUUGUUUUUUUAUUUCAUUAACGCAAUAGAUUUAAUUGUUGUGUGGUUUGCUUAGAUUAAUUUUUAGUAACUGUUAGAGUGCAAUUUAUGCACUAGUUUUGCAUUGUUUACUUCCCUUAAUAUCGAUGUUUUGCAUUUAAUAAUAGUGAUUUACCUGUGAUUUACUUUUGUAGGUGCAAUUCUAUUGAUUGGUGAUAAAAUUGAGCUACAAGAUGAUGUUUAGGGAUGAUUGUUCCCUUGGAGAAAUUAUGAGCGGCAGAAGAACUUUGUUGAUAAGGCGUGGGCGCGUGCUGUCAAUUGCGGACCUGCAGUUUUUAGUUUAACGUGUUUUAUAUUUUUGGCUAUUUUUGUAAUUACAAAUUUAAUAUUUUAGAUAUUAGUAUUUUAUUUUAAAUAGAACUCUAAAAGAGAAGAGAGAGAGAGUAUUUAAGGGAGGAAUCAAUUGAUUAAAUUCUAUGAUCGUAUCUAGGGUUGUCUAUUGAUUAGGGAAAUAACCAACGGUCGUACCUUGGUUAUCGACUAGUUAAGGAGAGAUUGGCUAUUAGAGGGUCUCAGUAGCUAUAACCGGUCUAUUCAUGAGUAAUAAUAAUAAUCUAUAUUUGAAUCAAUGAUCAGUAGUCGAAUCAAGUUGAGUUAAUUCCUUCAACCAGAGCUUUCUCUAAUUUGAAUUACAACUUUAAUUUGCAUUCUUGUUAUUUUAAUUUGAUUUUAUUAUUGUCAACAAUUCCCCCAUUUUACGUUUUACGUUUCAAAAGGAUUUAAAUAAUUACCGAUCUCUGUGGACACGACCCUGCUCAAUCACUAUACACAAUUUAUUUAGAGUAGGAAUUUAUUUUUGUUGGCUUCGACACCCAUCAGUAACCCAAUUUACCUCUCCUCUUGGGUUGCUUAGAUAAUAUUUCAUUUGGUAUCAGAUCCUUGUUCUCUUGUUAGGACUUAAUCGUCUCGAGUAAAAGAUCCAUGUCAACCCUAAAUGACUCAACCUUUAGAGAAGGAAAAUCCACAACUAGACCGCCGUUCUUUGACGGUAAUGACUAUGCAUAUUGGAAAACUAGGGUGAGAAUCUAUUUGCAAGCUUUAGAUUAUGAAAUUUGGGAAGUUGUUUGUGAUGGUCCAUUCAUGCCUAUGAUUAAAAAUGAAGUAGGAGAUGAUAUUCCUAAACCAUCAAAUCAAUGGAGUGAGUUAGAAAAGAGAAAGAUGUCCUUAAACUCCAGGGCAAGGAAUGCCUUAUUUUGUCCUCUUGAUAAGAAAGAAUUCCAUAGAGUAUCUAGUUGUGAGAGUGCACAAGAAAUAUAGAAGAAACUUGAAGUUGUUUGUGAAGGGACAAAUCAAGUUAAAGAGUCUAAAAUUAGUAGAUACACUCGUCAAUACGAAUUGUUCCAAAUGGAACAAAAUGAAAAUGUGUAUUCUAUGUAUACAUGAUUCACGGACAUAGUAUGGUAUUUUACGCUUAUGUUAUAAUUUAUAUUCGUGUUUAUUAGGGAUUAUUAAUUAUGUUUUAAAUAUAUCUAAUUUUGUGUGUUUAUUAGGUAAAAUAUUAAUUUCACGUAAUUCAAGACCCCAAACAGAUAAACAGAUGUCAAAUUUGGAUUCCAGAGGUUCGAAAACCUUAAGAUGAGUCAAGAUUGGCUUAAAAUUAGGUUUGUGUAAAAAGAGUUGACUUUUUGUUGACCGAGCACUAAUUAGAUAAUAAAAUGAGCUUACAACAGAUAUGAGUGCAUGGGAUAACUGUCAAUUUUGACUAAAUCUCAACCGUUCAUGAUUCAAUGGCUAUGAUUGUGCCACGUGAUAAUGGUUGGUAAAGCAAGUUGUUGGAUCGAAUCUUUGUAUUUGAGUUGACUCGAUCCACCUAUUAACCCGCCAAAUCUCAAUUGUUCUUUGGCCAAAUCAGAUGAGUCAAAUGAUGCCAAGUGUGAUGUUGACUUUUGAAAUUUGAUAAGUCAUUGGAUCUUGAUCUAAUGGUUGUGAGGAGUGCAUGUAUGAAGCUUAUGAUGGACCAUAAGACACUGGAUUAUGAAUUUAUUUUUCUAUAAAUAGAGCCUCAUUUUUAUGUUUUUAAUCAUCUCUCUACAUCUCUUUUCUUCUCACAUUCUCUCAAUCUCCCAGUAAUCUUGUUUUUGAGGUGUGUUUUUAAUAUUUUGUGUAAUUAGUUAUAAAUAAAUUUAGUUUUAUUUUCAAUUUUAAUUAUUUUUAUUACUUUUAAUUAUAAGUAAUUUAAUUUUAAUAUUUCUUUUUAUUUCAAUUAUUCUUAACUAAAUAAUAAUAGUUAGGGUAAGAUGAAACUCUUAGGAAAUAAAUAUAAUUUAAUCAAAUUCUAUUUUUAAUUUUAUAAAUUAAAUUAUUUUAUAUUUAAUUUUAAACAUUUAUAUAUUUUGAAAUUUUGAUUUAUUACAGACAAACAAGGGAGUUAGGCACAAUAAAUUCUUAAUAUCUUAAUAUAAGGUAUGGUAAAAUGGUAUUUUGACUUAUUGUAGAUAAAUUAAAUUUUGGUACAAUAAAUACUUAAUCCAUUAUAAAAUAAAAGGGAAAAUAAUAAUAAUUUAUAUAAUUAAUCUUUUGGGCAAUAAAUCUAAAAAAAUGGCAAAAAGAAUUUAUUAAGUUUUAUUUACUAUUAAGAGCGGAUCCACAACCAUAUCUAAUUCAAUUUCAUAGUUUUAUUUAAAUUAAGUUGUUUAUAUUCAAGUUUUAUUUUUAUUUUUAGAUAAAAUUAAAUAAACAAAAUUAAAUAUUUUCUCUAAGGAUUGACCUCAAACUCACCGAGCUAUAAUAUAAUAAGACACUCUUAUACUCGGGAGUUAAAAAUUUCUUUUAAGUUGUGUCAAGUUUUUGGCGCCGUUGCUGGGGAAAAGUUUUUAUUUUGCUUUAUUUUUCCUUUUUUUAUUUUUUAUUGUAAAGUUUUCUUUACACCUCUUUUACUUUUCCUAAAUUUUGUUUUGACCCCAAAACCUUUUAGAAUCUUCACUUUCAUCCCACAUGGCUUAAUUCUAAACUUCUAAAAAUUUUAUUGUGGCCAUACAUUAUAAAGAAUUUGCAAUAAGAUCCCUAGAUGAAAUUUCUCACAAUAAUCAGACUUUGGACUUACAUCUUGAACUUAUUUGGACUCAAUUUGGACUCAAUUUGGACCAAGCAAAUUAACUACUAACUCUUAAUUUUUUUUAGUUAUUUAAUUUUUAGUAUUUAUCUUAUUUUAUUUUACGGCCGAUUUGACUGCCUACUGUUAUUUAAUUUUCAGUUAUUUUAUUAUUUCACAUUUAUUUUGUUGCUUUAUUUUAUUUUGUUAAUUUAUAUGGUGGGUUCAAUUUUUUUUUAUUUUACGGUUGGUUUGACCGCCUACUGUUAUUUAAUUUUCAGUUAUUUUAUUAUUUCGCAUUUAUUUUUUGCUUUAUUUUAUUUUUUUAAUUUGUAUCGUGGGUUCAACCACCAAAAUUGUUAUUUAAUUUUAAUUUUAAUUUUAAUUUUUUUAAUUUUUUGUACACUUAUAGUAUUUGCAUAUUUAAUUUUCAUUUUUAUGCAAUUUUCAUUUAGUUGUUUUGUUACUAAUUUGUUUGAACAUUACCUUUGUGAUAUAAUUAUUGCAUGAGAUGUUGGUCUUGAACUUCAAAUGGCAGGUUAAUUCAUAGAUCUAAAUCUCCACCACCAAUCAUGGACAAGAACCAAGAUGAAAACCUUUUGGGCGAACCUAAUCCCAAAUUGGUCAGGGAGACAAUCAUUUCCAACAUGGACGUGAUCAGAAUCAAUCAAGAACCUUGAGAGACUACAUGAAUCCAACCAGAACCGGAGCACCGUCGUGUAUAGUAUCUCCUCCAGAAGUAUCUCGAUUCAACUUCAAACCAGGUAUUAUCCAAUUUUUACCAAUAUUUCAUAGUUUAGAAUGUAAGAAUCCAUACUCACACCUAAAAGAUUUUAAGGAAGUUUGUAAUACAUACACAGACCAAAAUUGUAGCAUGAACAUAAUUAGAUUAAAGGUUUUUCCUUUUUCAUUAAAAGAUAAAGCUCAAACUUGGCUACAAAACCUUAGAUCUGGAUCAAUAAGAACUUGGAAUAAAUUCUUUCCACCUCAUAGAACUAAUUUUUUUAAAAGGCCAAUCAUUUUUUUCACUGAAAAAAAUGGAGAAACAUUAUACCAAUGUUGGGAUAGGUUUAAAGAAUUGCUUAACAUAUGUCCACACCAUACUUUUGAAACUUGGCGAUUGGUCAUUUAUUUCUACGAGGAAUUGACACCCCAAAGUAGACAGGUUGUUGAAAUGAUGUGUAAUGAUGAAUUUAGGAAUAAAAAUCCUAAAGAUGCACUAGAUUAUCUUGACUAAUUAGCUGAAAAUGCACAACAUUGAGAUACUGUUGGAACUUUUGAAUUGACAAAUAAACUACCACUUUUGAAUUAACCUUAGGGAACAUCAUGAUUUACAAGCAAAAUUUGCAUCCCUACUUAGAAAAGUUGAAGGUUUGGAACACAAAAAGAGUGAUCAAGUAAAAUCUAUUCAAGAAAUUGCACUACAAUAUUUAUAGUUCGAAUGAUCAUUUCACUCAAGAUUGUCCCACUCUGCCUGCACUUAAAGAAUAUUUAAAUGAUCAAGCUAAUGCCAUUAACACUUUCAAUAAACCAAACCCAUAUCACAUACUUAUAAUCCUGGUUGGAGAAAUCAUCCAAAUUUCAGUUUGAGGAAUAAUAAUAAUGCACAAUCUUCACAAGCACCACCUCCACAAAAUUUUAAAAAUGCUCAGCCUUAUGCACCAUAUGUUCCACCACCAUGGAAAAAUCUAGAAGACGUGAUGCAUUCAUUCAUUAAAAAGCAAGAUGUUAUUAACAAUCAAAAUGCACAAACGUUUUCUGAUUUGAAACAUACUCGUGCUAAAAUUGCUUCUGCACUCACAAUUCAAGAAAAAAGAAAAUUUCCUGCCCAACCACAACCAAAUCCUUAGAUUCAACAAAAUCCACCCAUGGACCAAGUCAAGUUAGUUAUAACUCUUCGUAGUGGUAAGGUUGUUGAUAGACCUAUACUUGAACCUUGUGAAAAUGAUGAAAAUUCAAAGGUAAGAAAGGACUAAAUGAACUUUCAUCUAGUAAAGAAAUAAGUAGUGUUCCACCUGAACCACCAUUUUUGCAUGCAUUGAAUAGACCAAGGAAAUCAAACCACUCUUCUGAAAUUUAUGAAAUCUUUAAGCAAGUGAAAGUUAACAUUCCUCUAUUAGAUGCAAUCAAGUAGAUACCUUCAUAUGCCAAAUGUUUAAAGGACUUGUGCACUAUCAAGAGGAAAUUGAAGGUAAAAAAGGUGUUUUCAAUGCCAAACAGGUAAGUACAAUUCUGUCUACUAAUAAUAAGUUGAAAUAUAAAGAUCCUGGUUGUCCUACCAUUUCUUGUAUUAUUGGUGAUCACAGAAUUGAGCAUGCUUUACUAGAUCUUGGUGUUAGUGUUAAUUUGCUUCUAUAUUCAGUUUAUCUUCAACUUAAUCUUGGUGAGUUAAAAUCAACUUUAACUACACUUUUGCUUGUCGAUAGAUCAUUUAAAGUACCAAAAGGAAUAGUGGAAGAUGUUUUAAUACAAGUUGAUAAAUUUAUAUACCUAGUGGAUUUUAUUGUCUUAGAAACUGAACAUGUUGUGAAUAAUUAUAAACUAAUUCCUGUAAUUUUAGGUCGACUAUUUUUAGCAACAACUAAUGCUUUGAUUAAUUGUAAGAAUGGCUUAAUGAAUUUAUCCUUUCGAAAUAUGACUCCAGAAUUGAAUGUUUUCAAUAUGUACAUGCAACUUAAUGAAGAAAAUGAGAUAGAAGAUGAUAUUAAUGAAUAAAAGGAAUUGGUUGAAUCUUGCAUAAAGGAAAAUAUUCAAAAAAGGAUUUUUCUGAACUCUCUGAUGUUUGUUUAGUUAAUUUGAGGAGUUUGGAAGUGUUGAAAAGACAGAACAACCAGAAGCACCUAAAUUGGAAUUGAAACAUUUGACUGAAGGAUUGAAAUAUGCUUUUCUUGGAGAAGAACAAACUUAUCCUGUUGUGAUUUCUUCUAGUUUAACAAGCGACCAAGAAGGUAAGUUACUAACUGUUCUUAAAAAGUAUAAAAAUACAAUUGGAUAGACUUUAAAUGAUAUUAAAGGUAUUAAUCCCUUAAUUUGCACACAUAAAAUUAAUUUGGAAGAAAAUGCUAAAACAUGUCAACAACCUCAAAGAAGAUUAAACUCACACAUGAAAGAGGUAGUCAACUCAAAAGUCCUUAAAUUGCUUGAUGUGGGAAUUAUCUACCCUAUUUCUGAUAGCAAGUGGGUAGGUCCUACACAAGUAGUGCCUAAAAAAUCUGGAAUCAAUGUUGUUAAAACUGAAAAAGGUAAAUUAAUUUCAACACGGAUUACAUCUAAUUGGCGGAUGUGCAUUAAUUAUAGAAAGUUAAAUGAAGCCACUAGAAAAGAUCAUUUUCCAUUACCAUUCCUUGACCAAAUCUUAAAAAGAGUAGCUGGACAUCCAUACUACUGCUUUUUAGAUUGAUAUUCAGGUUAUUAUCAAAUUGUUAUAGCACUUGAGAACCAAGAAAAGAUCACAUUUACAUGUCCCUUUGGAAUAUUUACAUUUAAAAGAAUGUCAUUUGGGCUUUGUAAUGCUCCUGCAACAUUUCAAAGAUGUAUGCUAAAUAUUUUCUGUGAUAUGGUUGAACAUUGUUUAGAGGUCUUUAUGGAUGAUUUGAUUGUUUUUGGGAAUUCUUUUGAUGAUUGUCUUGAUAAUUUGGAGAAAGUUUUAAAAAGAUGUGUUGAAAAAAAAACUUGUGUUGAAUUGGGAAAAAUGUCACUACAUGGUUACUUCUGGAAUUGUUUUGGGUCAUAUUGUAUCUAUUAAAGGAAUUGAAGUUGACAAAGCAAAAAUAGAAGUCGUAUCUAAAUUGUCACAACAAAAAAUAAUUAGAGAUGUGCAAUCCUUUUUAGGACAUUUAGGAUUUUAUAGGAGAUUUAUAAAAAACUUUAGUGCCAUAUCUAAACCACUUUGUAACCUUUUAUUAAAAGAUACACCUUUUGAAUGGACAGAUGAUUGCCAAAAAUAUUUUGAGAAAAUAAUUUAUCUUUUAACAUUUGCACCUAUUAUGCAAUCUUUUGAUUGGUCUUGGCCCUUUGCAUUAAUGUGUGAUGCAAGUGAUUUUGUUGUUGGUGCUGUUUUAAGACAAAGAAUGGAUGGUAAGCCUUUUGUGAUUUAUUACGUGAGUAAGACUUUGGAUAGUGCUCAAAUGAAUUAUUUUACAACUGAAAAAGAAUUACUUGUUGUGGUAUUGCAUUAAACAAAUUUCGUUCAUAUUUUCUUGGCUCUAAAUUUGUUGUGUUUAUUGACCAUGCUGCUGUGAGAUAUUUGAUGAGUAAACAUAAUGCCAAACCGAGACUAAUUCAUUGGAUUUUGUUACUUUAAGAAUUUGACCUUACCAUCAAAGAUAAAAAGCGUGCUAGAAAUGUCGUUUAUGAUCAUCUAUCAAGACUCACAUUCGAAUCUGCAGACGANNNNNNNNNNNNNNNNNNNNNNNNNNNNNNNNNNNNNNNNNNNNNNNNNNNNNNNNNNNNNNNNNNNNNNNNNNNNNNNNNNNNNNNNNNNNNNNNNNNNNNNNNNNNNNNNNNNNNNNNNNNNNNNNNNNNNNNNNNNNNNNNNNNNNNNNNNNNNNNNNNNNNNNNNNNNNNNNNNNNNNNNNNNNNNNNNNNNNNNNNNNNNNNNNNNNNNNNNNNNNNNNNNNNNNNNNNNNNNNNNNNNNNNNNNNNNNNNNNNNNNNNNNNNNNNNNNNNNNNNNNNNNNNNNNNNNNNNNNNNNNNNNNNNNNNNNNNNNNNNNNNNNNNNNNNNNNNNNNNNNNNNNNNNNNNNNNNNNNNNNNNNNNNNNNNNNNNNNNNNNNNNNNNNNNNNNNNNNNNNNNNNNNNNNNNNNNNNNNNNNNNNNNNNNNNNNNNNNNNNNNNNNNNNNNNNNNNNNNNNNNNNNNNNNNNNNNNNNNNNNNNNNNNNNNNNNNNNNNNNNNNNNNNNNNNNNNNNNNNNNNNNNNNNNNNNNNNNNNNNNNNNNNNNNNNNNNNNNNNNNNNNNNNNNNNNNNNNNNNNNNNNNNNNNNNNNNNNNNNNNNNNNNNNNNNNNNNNNNNNNNNNNNNNNNNNNNNNNNNNNNNNNNNNNNNNNNNNNNNNNNNNNNNNNNNNNNNNNNNNNNNNNNNNNNNNNNNNNNNNNNNNNNNNNNNNNNNNNNNNNNNNNNNNNNNNNNNNNNNNNNNNNNNNNNNNNNNNNNNNNNNNNNNNNNNNNNNNNNNNNNNNNNNNNNNNNNNNNNNNNNNNNNNNNNNNNNNNNNNNNNNNNNNNNNNNNNNNNNNNNNNNNNNNNNNNNNNNNNNNNNNNNNNNNNNNNNNNNNNNNNNNNNNNNNNNNNNNNNNNNNNNNNNNNNNNNNNNNNNNNNNNNNNNNNNNNNNNNNNNNNNNNNNNNNNNNNNNNNNNNNNNNNNNNNNNNNNNNNNNNNNNNNNNNNNNNNNNNNNNNNNNNNNNNNNNNNNNNNNNNNNNNNNNNNNNNNNNNNNNNNNNNNNNNNNNNNNNNNNNNNNNNNNNNNNNNNNNNNNNNNNNNNNNNNNNNNNNNNNNNNNNNNNNNNNNNNNNNNNNNNNNNNNNNNNNNNNNNNNNNNNNNNNNNNNNNNNNNNNNNNNNNNNNNNNNNNNNNNNNNNNNNNNNNNNNNNNNNNNNNNNNNNNNNNNNNNNNNNNNNNNNNNNNNNNNNNNNNNNNNNNNNNNNNNNNNNNNNNNNNNNNNNNNNNNNNNNNNNNNNNNNNNNNNNNNNNNNNNNNNNNNNNNNNNNNNNNNNNNNNNNNNNNNNNNNNNNNNNNNNNNNNNNNNNNNNNNNNNNNNNNNNNNNNNNNNNNNNNNNNNNNNNNNNNNNNNNNNNNNNNNNNNNNNNNNNNNNNNNNNNNNNNNNNNNNNNNNNNNNNNNNNNNNNNNNNNNNNNNNNNNNNNNNNNNNNNNNNNNNNNNNNNNNNNNNNNNNNNNNNNNNNNNNNNNNNNNNNNNNNNNNNNNNNNNNNNNNNNNNNNNNNNNNNNNNNNNNNNNNNNNNNNNNNNNNNNNNNNNNNNNNNNNNNNNNNNNNNNNNNNNNNNNNNNNNNNNNNNNNNNNNNNNNNNNNNNNNNNNNNNNNNNNNNNNNNNNNNNNUCGUUAAUUUCCUCGUUACAGGAAAAAUGCCUUUCCAAUGCAAUGCCCAAGAGAAGAAGAAAUUUUUGGUUGAAGUAAAGAAAUUUUAUUGGAAUAAUCCUUACUUAUUCAAAUAUUUCCCAGAUCAAAUUUUUUCGGCGAUGUAUUCCGGAUAGUGAGGUAAGUAGUGUCAUUAAUUUUUGUCAUUCUGAAGCAUGUGGUGGAAACUUUUCUUCAAGAAAAACUACUGCUAAAAUUUUACAGUGUGGAUUGUAUUGGCCUACCAUAUUCAAAGACACAUAAAUUUUGUAAAACUUGUGAAAAAUGUCAAAAAUUAGGAUCAAUUACUAAAAGAAACAUGAUGCCUUUAAAUCACAUACUUGAGAUUGAAAUAUUUGACUGUUGGGGAAUUGAUUUCAUGGCUCCAUUUCGAUUAUCUUUUGGAUUUUUUUAUAUAUUAGUUGCAGUUGAUUAUAUCUCAAAAUAGAUUGAAGCAAUUUCUUCUCGAAAUAAUGAUAGUAAAAUUGUGAUUAAACUUUUAAGAGAAAACAUUUUAAGUCGAUUUGGAAUCCCUCGAGCCAUUAUCAGUGAUGGAGGUAAACAUUUUUGUAAUAAGUCAAUUGAGUCUUUAAUGAAGAAAUACUGAAUUACACACAAAGUUGCUACCCCUUAUUAUCCUCAAACAAAUGGUCAAAUUGAAUUAGAAAAUAAGGAGAUAAUUUUUUUUUUGGAAAAAACGGUUAACCCAAACCGAAAAGAUUGGUCUCUUAGACUUAAUAAUAUACUUUGGGCCUACCGUACUGCAUUUAAGACGUCAUUAGGAAUGUCACCUUAUUGGUUAGUUUAUGGUAAACCUUGUCAUUUACCUGUUGAACUUGAACAUAAAUCAUUUUGGGCUAUUAAAGUUUUUAAUUCAAAUUUGGAUGAUGCUGGUAAUGUGUGAAAAUUGCAAUUGAAUGAACUUGAGGAAUUAAGGAAUGAUGCAUAUGAAAAUUCAAGAAUUAUUAAAGCAAGAACAAAAGUUUUUCAUGAUAAAAGAAUUUUUCUGAAAAUAUUUGAGCUUCGUCAAAAAGUGUUGCUUUAUAAUUCUUGUCUUCAUUUAUUUCCAGAGAAGUUAAAGUCAAAAUGGAGUGGCCCAUUUGUUGUUAAAAAAUUAUAUUCAUAUGGGGCUAUAGAAAUUGAGAAUCCAAAGAACGGUGUCACAUUUAAAGUUAAUGGUCAAAGAUUUAAACCAUAUCUAAACAUCACCCACGUGAAGAAGACACCAAAAUCAAUUUGGGUGACCCACCAAUUCUUGAUUAAGUCUUUAAUGAAUGAUUCAUUUUUUUUGUUUUCUGUUAUUUUUCCAUUUCAUUGUUUGAUUUUUUUUCUCUUGAUUGAUGCACUAUACAUAUUUUUUUAGCAUUAUAUUUCUUAUUUAAGCGUGUUUGUUUGACAGUUGUAGUUUCUCUCAUCAAUUUUCAUUAUACGUCAUGAGUACCUCAAUAAGAAAGUUCUUGUUCACACAUCUUAAAAGACUUCUGUGUGUGAAAUUUCACUUAAGAGGCCUGAUACAAAGCUGUAACUCAUAUUCGCUUUGGGAUAUGCAUCCACCAUUAUUAGUGUCCUACGUUGAGGAUCUAGAAAGGCAACUUAGAGCAAUAGAGAACGAUAUAUAUGAAUUUCAAUUGGAGCUUGAGGUUAACUAAAUAAAAGGACGAAUGUAAGUUCAUUUUUCUUUUUUAUUUUCUUUGUGUGAUUUCUUUUUGUUGUUUUGUUCACUUUCACGUUUGAUUCGAUUUUACAGUUUUGAUUCUUUUUAUUUUGGUGUGUUUUGAUUUAUUUUCCCAUAUAAAUGGCGGAUAACAGUACUCCAUGACUUUUUAAGUCGGUAUCUUCAAUUUCCCAUAAUAACUGAAACCUCAAAAUCAAAUAUGGAAGAAAUACAACAUAAACUGCAUAAACAUUUUCCCUCUCUCCCUUAGAAUGCCCUCAAGAAAAUUUAUAAAACUCGUUGUGAACGACUGCAUUUGUUAAUGAUCAUUGGCAUUCCUUCUGACAUUCGUUGGUUAAUUGAAGCAAAGGUCUGGUUAGCAGGUGAGUUUUCUGAUCCAUUUGUUUCUUUCAUGCCUGAUUUUGGUAAAAGUACAUUUGCUAAAAAAAAUGGAGAGCUAAACGACUUGGCUCAAAAUGUCAUAAUUGUGUACGGCUUAAUUGCAAACGACCAGAUUGUAAAUCUUUAGGAAUUGUUUCUAAUAAUCAUGAAGAUAAAAUUAAAUUCGUUUAAGAUGGCCUAAGUAAAGAAUUGUUGGAUGAUAUCUUACGAUCUCUUGAGACGCAUUGAAGCGGAUAUGUGUAACGUGAGAUUCAUAAUUUUUUGAUACUGUUCCAAAAAGAAAGUGCAUAGUUUAGUCUUGGGAAUCUAACUAAAAAAGACCAUAUUUGCCAGUUAAUAAGAAAACUGGAUGGGAAGCUUAUCAUCGAUCCAUAGAGGGCGUUCAAGCCGUUACUGGACAUAAAACCAGAGGAAGAUAUGAGCCACAAUCACAAUUACCAAUAAAUAUCCUUUUAUUUUGUUGCUCUUUUAUCAUUUGCAUUAUUGCAUUUAGUGGCGUGAUCUUAUAUUUAAUAAUUAUCAUUUUCUUUUAAUGUUUGCUUUUUCUAAUCACUAUUUUCUUUUUCUUUUUAUUCUUUGCUUUUGAAUUAUUUAGCCACGAGCUUUAUGCAUCAUUUGACAAAUAUGCCAACCCAUUUAUAACUGUUUCUCAUUAUUUCUAUCACCAAGAUCUUUAAAUAUGAGCUCGUUUCUCAAAUACUCACAACUUGUUUUUGAAAGAUUAUUUCAAUGGCAGCAUCUUUAAGUAAACAAUUCAAAAAAAAUUUUGUGCUUUCUGGGUUUCACUAUGGAAAGUACAAAGAGUUUGUUCAGACAGCUAUAGAUCUUUUUCGUGUCAUAACAGUACCUCUAGAAACACAUCUUCUUAAUCUUAGAGUUUUAUUAAAAGAAAAUGUAACAUUUGCUUGUUCUUUGUCAUCUUCUUUUAAGCUUCUGCAUUGAGUUCAGAUGAGAUCUCCCCCUCUUCUUCUUUUUUUAUUAUUUUUUCUCUUUUAUUAUUUUUUUAUGCACUUCUGUAAAAUUAUAAAAUGUUAAGAUAAUGUUUAGAUUAGGUUGGGGGUGGGGAUAGUUGACGUGUGUUUUUAAAUAUGUGUUCGUUUUUCUCUUUUCUCUUUUCUUUUUUUAAAAAACUUAAAAAAAUAAUUUUUUUCUUUUGUCUAGGAUGGCUGUGUAAAGAGUCACGAGUUUUUAGACGCAUCCUAAUAGUCCUGUUGUAUUAUAUUUUGAUUUUGAAAUUCAUAGUAAGUUGUUUUUGUUCCUUUUUCUUUGAAUUACUCAAAUUUGUGAACUCUCCAAUUAGUUAUUAAGUCAUUUAAUUCUUUACUCAUUUAAUAGAUAUUAUCGAAUCAUUCUUCGCGCACACACUAUGAUACAUAUUAGUGGGUUGUAAGUUAAAAUUUUUGCAACAUUUAGUUCUUUUGAUUUGUUAGGGAUGCAAAAAGAAAAAAUAAAAAAAAUUAAAAAAGAGAGAAAAAGAAAAAAGAGAAAAAGAAAAAAUGAAAGUUUUUAAUUUUGCUAUAUCUAGAACCCGAGUAAUUAAGUCCGUAGGGGUGUUUGGACACCUAGUGCCCUAAGGUCAACUGGUUUCGGAGUCACUGGCCUAAAACUCACUGCGUGGGUAUUAGAUAUAUUGUUUGCUUAUUAGAAACUCGAGUAAUUAAAUCCGUAUGGGUGUUUCAACACUUAGUGCCCUAAGGCCAAUUGGUCUGGGAGUCACUGGCCUAAUGCUCACUACAUGGGUUAAAAAUGUAAUAUUUUUAAUUUAUAUGUGUGAAUAAUCUACUGCCUAAAGAUAGAAUUUCUAAUGAGUUUUGGAACAAAAAUGUUGUUUUUCUUUUAAUGAAGCCCCAUAAGUAUUGUGUUAAUUACUUGAGCACAAAAGUAGAUUUGAUAAUAUUCUGGAUAAUGAGUGAACACCAAAGAGCUAAAGAAAUCUGGGAGAGUUUAUUUAUUUGGUAGUUUAGAUGAUAGACGAACAACUAUUAACUUGCAUGUGAAUUUUGUAAAUCUUAAUUUAAUAUAACGCUUUAAUUGCUAGGGGCUAGGAAUAAGCUGGUUGGGGGUGUGAUUAGUAUUAAAAAUUGUUUAAUUAUCAAGCAAUAAUAAUGUUAUUUUGUGCUUAUGUUUUAAUUUAUAUUCGUGUUAUUAGGGAUUAUUAAUUAUGUUUUAAAUAUAUCUAGUUUUUUGUGUUUAUUAGAUAAAAUAUUAAUUUCACGUAAUUCGAGCCUCUAAAUAGAUAAAUGAAUUGGAUUCCAAAGGUUCGAAAACCUUAAAAUGAGUCAAGAUCAACUAAAAAUUGGGCUUGUAUAAAAAGAGUUUACUUUUCAUGUUGACCGAGCACUGAUUGGAUGAUAAAAUGAGCUUACAAUAGAUACGAGUGCAUGGGAUAGCUAGCAAUUUUGACUAAAUCUCAACCGUUCAUGAUUGUGCCACGUGGCAAUGGUUAGUGAAGCAAGUUGUAGGAUCAGAAUAUUUGUAUUCGGCUCGACCCGAUCCACCCAUUAACCCGCCAAAUUUCAAACGUUUUUUGGCCAAAUCAGACGAGUCAAAUGAUGCCACAUGUGAUGUUGACUUUUGAAGUUUGACAAGCCGUUGGAUCUUGAUCUAAUGGUUGUGAGGAGUGCAUGUAUGAAACUUAUGAUGGACCGCAAUAUACUAGAUUAUGAAUUUAUUUUUCUAUAAAUAGAGCCUCAUUUUUAUAUUUUUAAUCAUCUCUCUACAUCUCUUUUCUUCUCAAAUUCUCUCAAUCUCCUAGUAAUCUUGCUUUUCAGGUGUGCUUUUAAUAUUUUGUAUAAUUAUUUUUAUAAAUAAUUUUAGUUUUAUUUUAAAUUUUAGUUGUUUUUAUUACUUUAAUUAUAAGUAAUUUAAUUUUAAUAUUUCUUUUUAUUUCAAUUAUGCUUAACUAAGUAAUAAUAGUUAGGAUAAGGUGAAACUCUUAGGAAAUAAAUAUGAUUUAAUCAAAUUCUAUUUUUAAUUUUAUAAAUUAAAUUGUUUUCUAUUAAAUUUUACACAUAUUUUAUUUUUUGAAAUUUUGUUUUAUUGUAGACAAACAAUAUUAAAUUUUGGCACAAUAAAUACUUAAUCCAUCAUUAAAUUAAAGGGAAAAUAAUAAUAAUUUAUAUAAUUAAUCUUUUGGGUAAUAAAUCUAAAAAAAUGGCAAAAAACAUUUAUUAAGUUUUAUUUACUAUUAAGAGCGGAUCCACAACUGUAACUAAUUCAAUUUCAUAGUUUUAUUUAAAUUAAGUUGUUUAUAUUCAAGUUUUAUUUUUAUUUUUAGAUAAAAUAAAAUAAACAAAUUAAAUCUUUUCUCUGAAGAUCGACUUCGAACUCACCGAGCUAUAAUAUAAUAAGAUAGUCUUAUACUUAGGGGUUAAAAAUUAUUUUUAAGUUUGUUAAUUUUUUAUUUGGAUAUUCUGGAUACAUUCACCAGUAUUUUUUAUGGGGAGGUGGGCAUAGGAUUUUUAAGUAUCCAAUAAAAAAAAACUAAUUUAGACUAGACUGUUAGGUGGAGUGACCUAUCAUACUUGAUACAUUCGUAGACUAGGCUUUACUAGUCAAUGUGUAAGACAACUCAACAAUUCCCCCUUUAAACGAAACCAUCGGCACACCCUAGUCCGAUCCUCUGGCACACCCGACUUGUUCCAUCACCACAUUAUAGCUACUAGGAUCUGGCUCUGAUAUCACUUGUUGGGGGCUUGACAUAGGAUUUUUUGGUGUCCAACUCCAAAGAUUACUCUACACUAUCCUAUUAGGUAAAAUGACCUAUCAUAUUUGUAAACGUAAGUAACCGUCCUUUACUAUUUAAUGUGAGACAACUCAAUAAUUAGGAAUGAUUUUUGUGUUGCGGAAAUUGGUGAUUUAGGCCUGGAGGUUAGUAUUUUAUUUAUUUAUUUAUUAAAUGUAGGGGGUGUUCGCGGAUCAGAUUUUAUGGAUUGGACAUCAAUCCGUAUCCGAUCCAUGAUUUUGCGGAUUAUAAUUUUUCAAUCCUAUCCAAUCCACAGAUUGAUAAAAUUCAAUCCAAAUCCAAUCCAUACAUCUGCGGAUCGGAUGCGGAUUUGACUCAAUCCAUAUCCAAUCCAUACGUCUGCGGAUCAGAUGCGAAUUUGACUCAAUCCAUAUGCAAUCCACCAUUUUGCGCAUUAGUUUUCGAAUUAAAAAUUUUUAGUUCUCUCCAACUAAUGAAAUAAAAAAAUCUAAUAUAAAAAUAAUUUUGCUACCAAUUAAAUUUAAAAUUGAAUAAAAUUUAAAUAAAUUAAUUGUUUAAAUAAAGCUAAAAUAAUACAUUUAAAGUUUCAAAAUAUAACACAUCGAGACUAAUUAUUCAAAUAAAGCUACAAUAAUAUGUUCAAAGUUUCAAAAUAUAACACACCAACUUAGUUGUUCAAAUAAAGUUACAAUAAUACGUUAAUAUAACACCAGAAUUAAUUGUUUAAAUAAAGCCACAAUUAAUUGAAAUGACAAAGUUUCGGAAACCAAACACAGUCUGAUCCUUCACCAGGGCUGUUGUGCCUGUCGAAAAGUGGUGAUUACGGAGCCAUCCACGAUGAAAACCAGGAGAAGCCGUACGGGUGACGAUCUUGAAGGUUGUGAUAGUGAAAUUGUUCAGCUGAAACCAGUGAAUGUGAAGUGGCUCGAUGGACUUGGGAAAGAAGAUGACUUGCUCUCGCCGGAAUCGCGCGGCCGAUGUCCUUUAAAUCCGUGUCGAGAGUGUAUCCAACCAGUAUUGAGUGUUGCUAGUGUGUGUGAUGGCGGGGAAGCUUAUGGUUUUUUUUUUUGCAAAUUGUUAGUGACUUGGCGUUAUAUUACUUUGCUUUUGCUAGUGCGUGUGACUUUGCUUUUAUUUUGUUUUACAAUUUUUACAAGUUAUAUUUGUAUAUUUGAUUAUUUAAUUAUUUUUCAUUUUAUAUUAUUAUUGGGUAAUGGCUAAGAUAUGUUAUAGUGCUUAGUAACUAUGCAAUGUCACAUUUAUAAUUUUUUAAAUUAAAUUUAUAAUAAUUUUUUAAUUAUAUAUAUAUAUAUAUAUAUAUAUAUAUUUUGCAGAUUCAUGGAUUUCUGCGGAUUUGCAUAAGUAAAUCCAUAUCCAAUCCAUCGACUGCGGAUUUUUAAAUUUUCAAUCCAUAUCUAAUCCACCAAUCCACGGAUCGGAUUUAUACGGAUCGGAUUCAGCGGAUCAGACGGAUUGAGCGAAUCGGAUUGGAUUUUGAUCACCCCAAUUCAUGGAUUUCUACGGAUUUGCAUAAGUAAAUCCAUAUCCAAUCCAUCGACUGCGGAUUUUUAAAUUUUUAAUCCAUAUCUAAUCCACCAAUCCACGGAUCGGAUUUAUACGGAUCGGAUUUAGCGGAUCAGACGGAUUGAGCGAAUCGGAUUGGAUUUUAAUCACCCCCAAUUAAAUGUUUGAACCCUUUUCUAAUGUUUGCUCAUGCUCUGAGUUGUGUUUCCGUGUUUUCUUUGCUGAUUUGAAUGAUUGUUUUGGUCAACGGGCUUGAAUGCUAAUAUGGUUAGGCUUCUGUCAGUCCUUUUGAGCUGAAAACGACUUUAUUUUUCAUUUGCUCUCUCAACUCUCUUUUUCCUUUCGGUGGUGUUUGGUUUUAAGAAAGAGGAGGAGAGAAGAGGAGGAAAAAGGAGAGAAAUGGAGAGGUAAUGAGAGGAAAAAAGUGUAAAAAUUAAUUGUUAUUAUUUGGUUUCACAUUAAAUUUGAAAGGAAAAGAAAUUACAUAUUUUUUAUUUGGAAAAAUAUACCCACUAUCUCUAAUGUUAAUAAAUAAAUAAAAAAUUAAACUAUGAAUUAAUUUAAUCUAGAAAUUAGCUAGUUAAAUAAAAAAAUUAUUUUUUUAAAAUUACAGCAUCAGGUCAUGGAUAGCUGCCACAUUGACCGCAGUUUACUGUCGUUGGCAGCCAUUGACCACCGUUGACUGGUGUCAUUGACCGAUAUUGACUGCCAUUUUUCAUCGUGUUAAAUGCAUAAUAAUGAUCAGAAAUGGACGAUUUACUCAUUAUAAAUGUUAAUUUUGCAGAAAAUACUCUAUAUAGUCAGAAAUGUGAGAGUUAAAAUUUUCUCAAGCAUUUAAACAAGACUUGAGGUAAAUAACAACGUAUAUUAUCAUUUCUAACCCCAUAGAGUUGUAGAUCAGCUCAUGAGGAUUCCAUUGGUACUAGUUUUGAUGGUAAAGCGCGUCUCCAGCGAAACUCCAGCGAGUCACUUUACUGCUUUUUCUUUUUUCAAAUAAGUUUAUCCUAUUAAUUUAAGAAAAUAAAUAUAAAUUAUUUGUACUUUAAUUUAUUUAAAAUUGAUUUUGUGUGGAGGAUAAUAUUGGAAUUUUUGUGUUUCAAUAGAUAAGGAAUUUGAAAUCCUUAGUCAUUGAAUUUCAAUUGCAGUAAACUUGGUCCAACGAAACAGUGGAUAGUGGAAAAGAAAUUAAAUUCUUUUCCUCUCCCCACUUCUCUACCCCCAAGCAAACAUGGCCUUAGUUUCUUAGAUUUCACGAUAUGUGUAUUUUUCAUGAUAGAACAUUAUAAGUCAAUAGAUUUGUUGUUUAAUAAAUUUUCCUGAUGGAUUAGGUGGUGACAAAAACAAUUAUAUGGAGAUGAUUCCUGAAAAGAGAGAGUACAUGUGAGAGAGGGAAGAAAAUAGUUAAAAAAUGAAUGCUAAUUUUUAUUUUUUUGCGAGGAUAAUUUAAAAAUAAAUAAGGUUAAUUUGAAAGUGGGAAUGUCGAAAAAUAUUUGAGGUAGUCAAUGUCACUACUCUAUUAAAUUUCUCCAACUCAAGUUAGGUGGACAUUGGGUUAACCUAAUAGUAAACUAGAGUCCUCAACGUAUUUAGGGCAACACCUCACGCCCAUAGGAGACUCUGUGUCCUUUUUCUACAAAAUGUGAAACAAGGGUUUAUUUCUCUUUAUUUUAAUUGAACAAGACAUUUUUGACAAUAUAUUUUCGUUGUGUUUAUUUGUUGGAGUAAGAGUGGGAGUAUGGAUUCCUCCCACUCCAACAUUUACUUAUUUAAGAAGGGGAGUAGGUGUCCCACUCCAUAGAUCUCACUUAUUUUUAGAAUGAAAAAUGGGAUUCUCACUCCGUCGGAAUCUACUUCCAUCUCUUUCUUUUUUUACUUUUUCCUUAUU
rnacentral:lncRNA from 1 species